GCCGAGGUGGCGGAAUUGGCAGACGCGCAUGGUUGAGGGCCAUGUGGACACAAACGUCCGUGUGGGUUCAAGUCCCGCCCUCGGCA
rnacentral:tRNA from 1 species